rnacentral:lncRNA from 1 species
AAAUAGUUGUCUGCCUCCUUCAAACAAGCCAGUUUUGCUCUUUCUGGUAUCUUUUAAAAUAUAUAUAUAUAUCCUUAUGUAGCAUCUGCAGAUCCAUAAACAUCAGGUUGGACCUCAAACUGUUAAAAUCCUUUUUACUGUAGUAUCUUAAUUAAUUGACUUGUUUACAUGUUUACAAGCUCUGUCCAUAGAUAUAAAACAGCUGUUGAUGUCAGUAAUUCAGAGUGGAGUUGGCAUGCUGCGUUUCUCUUGUCAGCUGGAAUGAUGAUUGAACAUAACUGGCCACUUCAAAUUAAGGUCAGAUCUCUGGAUGCUCAGUGCAGCAGCGUGAUCUUCAG